ACGCAUUGCAUUGUCAUUCCAAAAGUUUCAACCAAAACGUUUCUUGAUUAAGCCAUUCUCUGUCUCAUCUAUCAAAUUAAACAAACCCGAUGUAAGAUAUUAAUGCAUUGCCAUUCCAAAAGUUUUUCUUGAUUAAGCGAUUCUCUGUCUCAUCUAUCAAAUUAAACUCACCCAAUCGAUUAAACACGUAUCCACUGCUUCAUUAACAAGAGUCGAUUAAACGUAUCCACUGCUUCACCCAAACGUAUCCAUCGCUUACUCGGUGCCGAUGCCACCGGCCGUCGUUAACUUCGGCGACAGAGUGAUUGGCGCCGGUGAAGAGUCGAUUCAUUCUGUUCGAACUCUGAUUUCGGUGCUUGAUGCUUAUCGUAAUCUCUCCGGCUUGCCUUGGUAAAGCUAUAUCCGAAAUUUGUCACAAAGCGGUUGGAUGUGUAUAUAUAUAUAUGUAUAUGAUUACCUUAUGAAGGCAUUUCAAGCUGAAGGGAAAUUAUUUACAGAUCCUAGAGCUAUUGAUGCACCCGUUGGCUUUUUAUUUGAAUGGUGGUCAGUCUUUUGGGAUAUAUUUAUUGCUAGAACAAAUGAGAAGCACUCUGACGCUGCUGCAUCCUACAUUGAGGUUGGAUGUGUAUAUAUAUGAUAACCUUAUGAAGAGAAAAUUGCAUGCUUCUGCAAAGGCAUUUCAAGCUGAAGGGAAAGUAUCUACAGAUCCUGUAGCUAUUGAUGCACCCGAUGGCUUUUUAUUUAAAUGGUGAUCAGUCUUUUGGGAUAUAUUUAUUGCUAGAGCAAAUGAGAAGCACUCUGCCGCUGCUGCAUCCUACAUUGAGGUCCCUAUGAUCCAGUUUUGAUCAAAGCCUGGGAACAUUGGGAUGAUCAACAUGUUUCUGAAAAUGAUCAUCCUAGAGCAUUUCCAAAAAAUCAGUGCUAUGUUGUGUUUGUUUUACAACAUGGAGGUAAGGAUCUUGAAAGCUUUGUGCUCCUGAAUUUUGAUGAAGCACGGAGUCUGUUAGUUCAGGUUACGGCAGCCCUAGCACUGGCUGAAUCAGCAAAUGAGUUCCUUUACUGUUAAACUUUGAUUAAAGCUCUGAGUAAGUUCAUUUACUAUUAAACUUUGAUUAAAGCUGGGUUUCUUGAUUCAAAGAAAAUAAGGUCAAGCUUGAUUUUUAAUAUUUAGUUUAUUUUGUGUAUUUAAUAACUUCAUGGUGUAUCUGCUUGGAUUUAUGGGACUCUUCUUAUACUUCGUUUGGUCAAACUACCUUUGGGAGUGCAGCAAUUUUUGGUCUUUUCUUGGGUGCUGGUAGCUUGAUACAUUGUGGGAAAGCUUACUCACUUUUCUCUUGCUACUAUGAUGAAACCAAGUUUUCUGGAGACUCCGGACUCUUGGUAAUGGCAAUAUGAGCUUCAUCCACUCUCCUCACGAACUGCCUGUGAUGAUCACCACCUGCCCUACUAAGGACCUCAGGGAAAAGCUGUCCAGAUACAGAAAUAAAAAGACAAAGAGGAACUUUGGCAGAAAAAUCAAGUAUGCUUGCAGGAAGGCUCUGGGAGACAGUCAAUGAAAUAGCUAGGUCUGAUGAAGUGUAAUACAAAGAAUGAGUAUUAGUGAAGCUUGGCAAAGAGAAUUAGUGGAAAGCCUAAAGAGGUAAUGCUAAAUAAACAAGACCCCCCUCCCAACUCCAACAGAAGCAGUCGAUCUCCUAUUGUCAGAGAAACUGUUUGAAGAGAGGUAGCGGACCUCCUCAGCAAUUUAAAUUCUUUAUGUUUGGUACUUGGUGUAGAUUUCAAGGACACCAUCUGUAAAAUUCACCCCACGAUGGAUGAUUCCAACGCAACAAAGGAUGUAACUAACUCUACGAUUCAGAAAUUGGCAAUGAAAAUUUGAAGUUUUCAAGAUUCAAGAGGUCAAGAUUCAGAGGACGCAGAAAGUUUGUACUGGUGUAAUACUGUUUUACAAGUUUAUGAAAUGGGAAUUUAUUGUAAACAAUAAAGCUAUGGACAUCAACAUUUUUGCACCGAAAAUAUGUACGAGCCUAUGUUUCCCUUGACUCACACCAACAAUCAGACGCGUUAUUAAAUAUUUUUCUAGUGAACAGUCGUCCAUCAAAUAUGGACGACUGUUCACUUACAUAGACUUCCAUCUA